rnacentral:rRNA from 1 species
GCAAACUGAAAAAGCUGAAUAUAUAUACUGUAUAUAUCUAUAUAUAUCAGGUUGAGCCGGUCAGUACCUGGAUGGGAGACCUCCUGGGAAAACUAGGUUGCUGUUGGAA